rnacentral:rRNA from 1 species
UACGUAGGGUGCAAGCGUUGUCCGGAAUUAUUGGGCGUAAAGAGCGUGUAGGCGGCUUGAUAAGUCUGCUGUGAAAGUCCAGGGCUCAACCCUGGAAAGCCGGUGGAUACUGUCGAGCUAGAGUCCGGAAGGGGCGAGUGGAAUUCCUGGUGUAGCGGUGAAAUGCGCAGAUAUCAGGAGGAACACCAAUGGCGAAGGCAGCUCGCUGGGACGGUACUGACGCUGAGACGCGAAAGCGUGGGGAG